ACUCCUACGGGAGGCAGCAGUGGGGAAUCUUGGACAAUGGGCGCAAGCCUGAUCUAGCCAUGCCGCGUGAGCGAUGAAGGCCUUAGGGUUGUAAAGCUCUUUCAGUCGGGAAGAUAAUGACUGUACCCACAGAAGAAGCCCCGGCUAACUCCGUGCCAGCAGCCGCGGUAAU
rnacentral:rRNA from 1 species